UACGUAGGGUGCGAGCGUUGUCCGGAAUUAUUGGGCGUAAAGAGCUUGUAGGCGGUCUGUCGCGUCUGCUGUGAAAAUCCGGGGCUCAACCCCGGACUUGCAGUGGGUACGGGCAGACUAGAGUGUGGUAGGGGAGACUGGAAUUCCUGGUGAUAGCGGUGAAAUGCGCAGAUAUCAAGGAGGAACACCAAUGGCGGAAAAGCAGCUCUCUGGGACGG
rnacentral:rRNA from 1 species